UUGAGAGUUUGAUCCUGGCUCAGAACGAACGCUGGCGGCAGGCCUAACACAUGCAAGUCGAGCGAGACCUUCGGGUCUAGCGGCGGACGGGGUAGUAACGCGUGGGAACGUACCCUUUUCUAAGGAAUAGCCACUGGAAACGGUGAGUAAUGCCUUAUACGCCCUUCGGGGGAAAGAUUUAUCGGAGAAGGAUCGGCCCGCGUUAGAUUAGAUAGUUGGUGGGGUAAUGGCCUACCAAGUCUACGAUCUAUAGCUGGUUUGAGAGGAUGAUCAGCAACACUGGGACUGAGACACGGCCCAGACUCCUACGGGAGGCAGCAG
rnacentral:rRNA from 1 species